rnacentral:rRNA from 1 species
GACGAACGCUGGCGGCGUGCUUAACACAUGCAAGUCGAACGGUGAAGCGAGUGCUUGCACUCGUGGAUCAGUGGCGAACGGGUGAGUAACACGUGAGUAACCUGCCCAUCACUCUGGGAUAAGCACUGGAAACGGUGUCUAAUACUGGAUACGACCAACCCUUGCAUGGGGUGUUGGUGGAAAGAUUUAUUGGUGAUGGAUGGACUCGCGGCCUAUCAGCUUGUUGGCGGGGUAAUGGCCCACCACGGCGACGACGGGUCGCCGGCCUGAGGGGGUGACCGGCCACACGGGGACUGAGACACGGCCCAGACUCCUACGGGAGACAGCAGUGGGGAAUAUUGCACAAGGGGCGAGAGCCAGAUGCAGCGACGCCGCGUGGGAGAUGACGGCCUUCGGGUUAUAAACCUCUUUCAGCAGGGAAGAAGCGAAAGUGACGGUACCAGCAGAAGAAGCACCGGCUAACUACGUG